rnacentral:rRNA from 1 species
AUUGAACGCUGGCGGCAGGCCUAACACAUGCAAGUCGAGCGGAUGAAGGGAGCUUGCUCCUGGAUUCAGCGGCGGACGGGUGAGUAAUGCCUAGGAAUCUGCCUGGUAGUGGGGGAUAACGUCUGGAAACGGGCGCUAAUACCGCAUACGUCCUGAGGGAGAAAGUGGGGGAUCUUCGGACCUCACGCUAUCAGAUGAGCCUAGGUCGGAUUAGCUAGUUGGUGGGGUAAAGGCCUACCAAGGCGACGAUCCGUAACUGGUCUGAGAGGAUGAUCAGUCACACUGGAACUGAGACACGGUCCAGACUCCUACGGGAGGCAGCAGUGGGGAAUAUUGGACAAUGGGCGAAAGCCUGAUCCAGCCAUGCCGCGUGUGUGAAGAAGGUCUUCGGAUUGUAAAGCACUUUAAGUUGGGAGGAAGGGCAUUAAGUUAAUACCUUGCUGUUUUGACGUUACCAACAGAAUAAGCACCGGCUAACUUCGUG